rnacentral:rRNA from 1 species
GCUUAGCCGUAAACACAGAUAGUACACACACAAAACUAUUCGCCAGAGAACUACAAGCGAAAAGCUUGAAACUCAAAGGACUUGGCGGUGCUCCACAUCGUCCUAGAGGAGCCUGUCCUAUAAUCGAUACUCCACGUUUCACCCUACCAUCUUUUGCAAUUCAGCCUAUAUACCGCCGUCGUCAGCCUACCUUAUGAAAGAAAUAAAGCAGGCAAAAAAGUUAACAACUAGCACGUCAGGUCAAGGUGUAGCAGAUAAGAUGGAAGAGAUGGGCUACAUUUUCUACCACAGAAAUUACGAAAGGUAUAUUGAAACAUUCACCCGAAGACGGAUUUAGUAGUAAGAUAAAUAAGAAACUCUAUCUUAAGACCGCUCUGGAGCGCGC